rnacentral:rRNA from 1 species
GGUUAAGCGACUAAGCGUACACGGUGGAUGCCCUGGCAGUCAGAGGCGAUGAAGGACGUGCUAAUCUGCGAUAAGCGUCGGUAAGGUGAUAUGAACCGUUAUAACCGGCGAUUUCCGAAUGGGGAAACCCAGUGUGAUUCGUCACACUAUCAUUAACUGAAUCCAUAGGUUAAUGAGGCGAACCGGGGGAACUGAAACAUCUAAGUACCCCGAGGAAAAGAAAUCAACCGAGAUUCCCCCAGUAGCGGCGAGCGAACGGGGAGGAGCCCAGAGCCUGAAUCAGUGUGUGUGUUAGUGGAAGCGUCUGGAAAGGCGCGCGAUACAGGGUGACAGCCCCGUACACAAAAAUGCACAUGCUGUGAGCUCGAUGAGUAGGGCGGGACACGUGGUAUCCUGUCUGAAUAUGGGGGGACCAUCCUCCAAGGCUAAAUACUCCUGACUGACCGAUAGUGAACCAGUACCGUGAGGGAAAGGCGAAAAGAACCCCGGCGAGGGGAGUGAAAAAGAACCUGAAACCGUGUACGUACAAGCAGUGGGAGCCUCUUUAUGGGGUGACUGCGUACCUUUUGUAUAAUGGGUCAGCGACUUAUAUUCUGUAGCAAGGUUAACCGAAUAGGGGAGCCGAAGGGAAACCGAGUCUUAACUGGGCGUUAAGUUGCAGGGUAUAGACCCGAAACCCGGUGAUCUAGCCAUGGGCAGGUUGAAGGUUGGGUAACACUAACUGGAGGACCGAACCGACUAAUGUUGAAAAAUUAGCGGAUGACUUGUGGCUGGGGGUGAAAGGCCAAUCAAACCGGGAGAUAGCUGGUUCUCCCCGAAAGCUAUUUAGGUAGCGCCUCGUGAACUCAUCUCCGGGGGUAGAGCACUGUUUCGGCAAGGGGGUCAUCCCGACUUACCAACCCGAUGCAAACUGCGAAUAUCGGAGAAUGUUAUCACGGGAGACACACGGCGGGUGCUAACGUCCGUCGUGAAGAGGGAAACAACCCAGACCGCCAGCUAAGGUCCCAAAGUCAUGGUUAAGUGGGAAACGAUGUGGGAAGGCCCAGACAGCCAGGAUGUUGGCUUAGAAGCAGCCAUCAUUUAAAGAAAGCGUAAUAGCUCACUGGUCGAGUCGGCCUGCGCGGAAGAUGUAACGGGGCUAAACCAUGCACCGAAGCUGCGGCAGCGACGCUUAUGCGUUGUUGGGUAGGGGAGCGUUCUGUAAGCCUGUGAAGGUGUGCUGUGAGGCAUGCUGGAGGUAUCAGAAGUGCGAAUGCUGACAUAAGUAACGAUAAAGCGGGUGAAAAGCCCGCUCGCCGGAAGACCAAGGGUUCCUGUCCAACGUUAAUCGGGGCAGGGUGAGUCGACCCCUAAGGCGAGGCCGAAAGGCGUAGUCGAUGGGAAACAGGUUAAUAUUCCUGUACUUGGUGUUACUGCGAAGGGGGGACGGAGAAGGCUAUGUUGGCCGGGCGACGGUUGUCCCGGUUUAAGCGUGUAGGCUGGUUUUCCAGGCAAAUCCGGAAAAUCAAGGCUGAGGCGUGAUGACGAGGCACUACGGUGCUGAAGCAACAAAUGCCCUGCUUCCAGGAAAAGCCUCUAAGCAUCAGGUAACAUCAAAUCGUACCCCAAACCGACACAGGUGGUCAGGUAGAGAAUACCAAGGCGCUUGAGAGAACUCGGGUGAAGGAACUAGGCAAAAUGGUGCCGUAACUUCGGGAGAAGGCACGCUGAUAUGUAGGUGAAGUCCCUCGCGGAUGGAGCUGAAAUCAGUCGAAGAUACCAGCUGGCUGCAACUGUUUAUUAAAAACACAGCACUGUGCAAACACGAAAGUGGACGUAUACGGUGUGACGCCUGCCCGGUGCCGGAAGGUUAAUUGAUGGGGUCAGCGCAAGCGAAGCUCUUGAUCGAAGCCCCGGUAAACGGCGGCCGUAACUAUAACGGUCCUAAGGUAGCGAAAUUCCUUGUCGGGUAAGUUCCGACCUGCACGAAUGGCGUAAUGAUGGCCAGGCUGUCUCCACCCGAGACUCAGUGAAAUUGAACUCGCUGUGAAGAUGCAGUGUACCCGCGGCAAGACGGAAAGACCCCGUGAACCUUUACUAUAGCUUGACACUGAACAUUGAGCCUUGAUGUGUAGGAUAGGUGGGAGGCUUAGAAGUGUGGACGCCAGUCUGCAUGGAGCCGACCUUGAAAUACCACCCUUUAAUGUUUGAUGUUCUAACGUUGACCCGUAAUCCGGGUUGCGGACAGUGUCUGGUGGGUAGUUUGACUGGGGCGGUCUCCUCCUAAAGAGUAACGGAGGAGCACGAAGGUUGGCUAAUCCUGGUCGGACAUCAGGAGGUUAGUGCAAUGGCAUAAGCCAGCUUGACUGCGAGCGUGACGGCGCGAGCAGGUGCGAAAGCAGGUCAUAGUGAUCCGGUGGUUCUGAAUGGAAGGGCCAUCGCUCAACGGAUAAAAGGUACUCCGGGGAUAACAGGCUGAUACCGCCCAAGAGUUCAUAUCGACGGCGGUGUUUGGCACCUCGAUGUCGGCUCAUCACAUCCUGGGGCUGAAGUAGGUCCCAAGGGUAUGGCUGUUCGCCAUUUAAAGUGGUACGCGAGCUGGGUUUAGAACGUCGUGAGACAGUUCGGUCCCUAUCUGCCGUGGGCGCUGGAGAACUGAGGGGGGCUGCUCCUAGUACGAGAGGACCGGAGUGGACGCAUCACUGGUGUUCGGGUUGUCAUGCCAAUGGCACUGCCCGGUAGCUAAAUGCGGAAGAGAUAAGUGCUGAAAGCAUCUAAGCACGAAACUUGCCCCGAGAUGAGUUCUCCCUGACUCCUUGAGAGUCCUGAAGGAACGUUGAAGACGACGACGUUGAUAGGCCGGGUGUGUAAGCGCAGCGAUGCGUUGAGCUAACCGGUACUAAUGAACCGUGAGGCUUAACCUU